rnacentral:rRNA from 4 species
GUGGCUGGGGGUGAAAGGCCAAUCAAACCGGGAGAUAGCUGGUUCUCCCCGAAAGCUAUUUAGGUAGCGCCUCGUGAAUUCAUCUCCGGGGGUAGAGCACUGUUUCGGCUAGGGGGCCAUCCCGGCUUACCAACCCGAUGCAAACUGCGAAUACCGGAGAAUGUUAUCACGGGAGACACACGGCGGGUGCUAACGUCCGUCGUGAAGAGGGAAACAACCCAGACCGCCAGCUAAGGUCCCAAAGUCAUGGUUAAGUGGGAAACGAUGUGGGAAGGCCCAGACAGCCAGGAUGUUGGCUUAGAAGCAGCCAUCAUUUAAAGAAAGCGUAAUAGCUCACUGGUCGAGUCGGCCUGCGCGGAAGAUGUAACGGGGCUAAACCAU